AACGAACGCUGGCGGCAUGCCUAACACAUGCAAGUCGAACGAGACCUUCGGGUCUAGUGGCGCACGGGUGCGUAACGCGUGGGAACCUGCCCUUAGGUUCGGAAUAACUCCCCGAAAGGGGUGCUAAUACCGGAUAAUGUCUUCGGACCAAAGAUUUAUCGCCUUUGGAUGGGCCCGCGUUGGAUUAGCUUGUUGGUAGGGUAAAAGCCUACCAAGGCGACGAUCCAUAGCUGGUCUGAGAGGAUGAUCAGCCACACUGGGACUGAGACACGGCCCAGACUCCUACGGGAGGCAGCAGUGGGGAAUAUUGGACAAGGGGCGAAAGCCUGAUCCAGCAAUGCCGCGUGAGUGAUGAAGGCCUUAGGGUUGUAAAGCUCUUUUACCCGGGAUGAUAAUGACAGUACCGGGAGAAUAAGCUCCGGCUAACUCCGUG
rnacentral:rRNA from 1 species